AGGUUCCAGAAAAUCGGCUAUACAUUUUAAUAUUUAACUCUAUUUGUUGUUAUAUCUUCUUUUUUGUUUUUUCUUUUAUUCUAUUUUUGUAAAAUGUUUUAGUUUUUUGUUAUGUUUUGAAGAUAUAUAAAAUUUGUUGUUUGAACUGGAUUAGUACCCAGGUAAUCAAAGUUUAUUAAUUCGGGAGUAAAGUUUAAUUUAAACCGAAAAAAUAUUGACUGACUUUGGAUUUUUCUUUGGAACAUGUGAUUUUUGGAUAGUCCUCCUUGUUAGUUGAUUUUGUUGGCUCAUGUAUGAUUGUUUAGUUUUUAUUUUGUUUGUGAUGCUAUUAUGAUUUUUAUUUUAAAACAGAUAUAUAUUUGGCUUAUGGGUCGAUGUUUCAUGUGUUACUAUUAUUAAUUUUUUUUGGAUUUUUUAUUAAAGGUUUUUUUGAAAUUGGAAAAGAAAGUAAUUGGGGUUUUUAUGUUUGGAUGAAUUUAAUAAACAAAGUGGUACAAACUCAU
rnacentral:rRNA from 1 species